AAAUGCUACUAAAAUGACAGCAAAGAAGCCAAAAAGGCCCAAGUCCACAAGACAGAAAGAAUAGGUGAAAAGUCCAUGUCAUCUCAUUUUUGGAGAUGGACAUGGACAGGGGCUGAAACUGCAGUACCAGCAGAUGGGGAGCUUAAGAAGGAAGCUAGUUCAUGGCACAGCACCCGUAAAGUCCCCAGAAUUGGAGGCACCAGAUUCUUCUGAAAGAAAAGGAGCAAUUCAGCACUUGUCAUGCAGAUAAGAGGUCAACACCCCAGGACGGAGUGAAAACCUAAGGAUUCACAAACCCACCCUUGUGCGAAUCCAGCCGUCUGUGUUCUAGACUGGCAAGGACCAUAUCUGAUUCUGAGAUGCUCAGGAAGGUGUGCUCCCAAUUGGCCCUUGUCCAGACUAGUUUACUUGCUGAGUAUCCCCAGGGCACAGGAACAAUCAUUUGGGGUUGCGGCUUUGUUCAUAGGGUCAUCAAGACAGGAGGAUAUGAGGCAGAAUCACCACACAAGGCGUAGAGAAAAACAGAGCUAAGACAAACCAAGGCUAACUGCUGAUUUAAGUCCCUAGAUCCAGCUAUUCUUGAAGCCUUCUCAGUUACACAAACCAAUAAUACUUACUUUUUUUACUUAAACUAUUUUCUGUUUCCAUUACUUACAACCAAAAUAGUCCUGAUUAAUACAUAGAAUAAUGUGAAUUUUUAUUUUUAUUCUGAUUUUUAUUCUGACUUUAUAAAAAAGAACUUUUACAAUUAUCCAUUAUGCUUGGAUAAAUGCGUGUGUAAAUAUUUGUUUGGGGUGGAGGAUGUACACUGAAAUGUUAACAUUAGAUUUCUGCGGAGGAUGAGUUGGAAGGAAUGAAGGAGACAUUAAUAUCUUUUUCUGGCAGGGCACGGUGGCUCACACCUGUAAUCCCAGCAUUUUGGAAGGUGGAGGUGGGCGGAUCACCUGAGGAGAUUCUAUAAAGAAGAGAAUGAUGUAAGUGACCCGGGGGCAAUGGGGGGAGCUUAAAUUUGAAACUAGAAAAAAUUUUGAACAAAAUAAUCAUAAUUGUUAGCUGAUGAAAAACUAGAAAAUAUUUUCUGAGUAAAUUCUUGAUUUCAGAAAUUAACUAUAAUUUAUAUUGCUCUUAAUAUCUUACCCUUGAAUAUAAAUGAUUAAUGCCCUUUAAAAUGUCCUUUUUUCUAGCUAACCUGAUGUACAUAUGACAUUAAUCCAAUAGACUUAGGAAUAAGAUACAGGGGGUUUUCCUGAAUGAUUCGAGUAUAUCCCCAUUCAUAUUAAGAAAACAAAGUAUUGGCCAAGCGUGGUGGCUCACGCCUGUAAUCCCGGCACUUUGGAAGGCCGAGGCCAGUGGAUCACCUGAGGUGGACUCAACGACUCUCUUACCGUCCAGCUCUCAAGUCCCUUCUCUUGUGAAAAUGGAAAAGUUGAACUACAGUUGAGAUAUUAUUCCCAGGUGUUCUUUGGAACACAGGGGAUUUCUCCAAAAGGCACAGAACAAAUUGCCUCCAAACAGCCAAGAUUCCAGCAGAAGCUGGAGUAGCAGACUACUUGGAUCUUCAAAGUACCUGGCCCUGAGUCAGUUAAGGAAGAUCUUUUCUUCUCUUUUGUACAAUCCUAUGAUGAGAGCUGCAAAGUGAACUGACUAAGAGCUUCUGCCUUGAUCAUUGACCUCCCAAUCCUAAUAAUAUGUUCACUGGCCAAACUUCCUAAUCGAUUUGUCUUUUGGAUAUAACGUUCCUCCUACUGUUUGCCUGAUUGAGAAAUCUGCUACAGAACAUGACCGGUUAGCAUUCCCACCAACCCCAGUGCUACACUGACUGUCUUUCGAUGGACUUUGCUCCUUGCUGCCUCUCUGAGGUCCCAGACCUUCAGAGUGACCUUCACAGCUCUGCCUAACUUUCUGUCAUACUUCUAUCAAGAGAGACAGCUAAAUCAAUAUUUUUAAUGUGCUUUGCUGUCGGAAUUCGAUGAUCUGUCACAGUUCUUGCCCAAUACACCCCAUCAUUAUUGUUAAAAUGUUUUUAGCUUUGUUUGUAGAAUUGCUUUAACUGGUUUCAUCUCUGGGAGCUACACUUUGAAAUAUAACUUUAGCAACAUUUUACUAUACUUUUUCACAACCCAGAGCAGUACUAUUUUAUGCUUAGUGGUUAAACUAAUUCCAUAAAUCUUUUGCAACUAUCCUCUAUUCUUUUUCUUGUAAUUUUUACCUGGGAAGGUUUUUACUGAUAAUCAUCCUAUCCUGAGUCAUCCCACAAACCAAUCUGUCUCACUAAUCAUUGCUUCUAACCUACAGACUAAGCAUAACUUCUGCUAAAUGAUCUUUGAUAAGAUGCUAUGACUCUAUAAAGUCUUUGAUAUUCAUGUCUAAAUUUAAUCACUUGUAGAUUUUCAUAGAAUCAAUCUUUCACUUCUACAAUUGGGAGUAUUUAUAAGUUGUUUAUCUUAAACAGUUCCUCUAUCACGCUUUUCACGUUAAAUAAAGCAAUCCCUUCAAAUCA
rnacentral:lncRNA from 1 species